UGAAGUCAAAUGCAAUAGUACUACCUAGUAAUUGAAUUGUGUGUGCUCAUAAAUUAAUUGAAGGGCACUUUAAAAUGGUAAUGGUGUGUGUGUGUGUGUGUGUGUGUGUGUGUGUGUGUUUAAUGGCUAAUUGCCCUUUUAAGUAAGAAGGGGGAUUCUAACCAAGUUCAA